GAUGAACGCUGGCGGCGUGCCUAAUACAUGCAAGUCGAGCGAACAGACGAGGAGCUUGCUCCUCUGACGUUAGCGGCGGACGGGUGAGUAACACGUGGAGAACCUACCUAUAAGACUGGGAUAACUUCGGGAAACCGGAGCUAAUACCGGAUAAUAUAUUGAACCGCAUGGUUCAAUAGUGAAAGACGGUUUUGCUGUCACUUAUAGAUGGAUCCGCGUCGCAUUAGCUAGUUGGUAAGGUAACGGCUUACAAAGGCAACGAUGCGUAGCCGACCGGAGAGGGUGAUCGGCCACACUGGAACUGAGACACGGUCCAGACUCCUACGGGAGGCAGCAGUAGGGAAUCUUCCGCAAUGGGCGAAAGCUUGACGGAGCAACGCCGCGUGAGUGAUGAAGGUCUUCGGAUCGUAAAACUCUGUUAUUAGGGAAGAACAAAUGUGUAAGUAACUAUGCACGUCUUGACGGUACCUAAUCAGAAAGCCACGGCUAACUACGUG
rnacentral:rRNA from 1 species